rnacentral:lncRNA from 1 species
UGCAGACAUAAAACAUAUUUCUAGGGCCACCUCUUCAGUGCUCUCCUUCCUGCACUGGCCCUUCUGAGUAGAAAAGCCAGGGUGCCACGACGGAAUAAGUGUCUAGGUGUGAGGAGUCCUACACUUCUCCUUGCUCCUUGCAUCGAGAAAAUGGUACUUUUUGCCCAUUUUAAAAGUACCUCAAGAAAAUAGUACUUCAGCUUUCAUGCAGAUUUCACACUUCCAGUUUUAUGCUGUUGUAUCAAUGCUAACUCCAGAGUACAUAGGAUCCUGAAAACACGAAGUCCAAGUGAAUGCUGAGAGGAAAAGGGAACACAAGGAAGAACUGCUCAAAUAAAGCAAGUGGAGCAACAACAAGCAUGCAUCCAGUGUUGCUGGGUGAUACCGUUCGCUACCCUAUAAAACCUUGAACAGGCUCAUCCAUCGCACACUAAAAGAAGGAGGGGAGGCAGAGGGAAUCACCCCAACAGGAGGUUCCUUCGUUGGCAUAAAUGAAAGCUCUAUAAUUGUUUUGAUUCCUAGGAAUAAUUUGUGAGCUAUCUGCGUGCAAAUACUCAUUGUAAAGCAGUGCAUUUAAGAAAAAAAUAUAUAUAUAUAUUAUCCUAAAGACCAGA